UACGUAGGGCGCAAGCGUUGUCCGGAAUUAUUGGGCGUAAAGAGCUCGUAGGCGGCUUGUCGCGUCGAUUGUGAAAGCCCGGGGCUUAACUCCGGGUCUGCAGUCGAUACGGGCAGGCUAGAGUGUGGUAGGGGAGAUCGGAAUUCCUGGUGUAGCGGUGAAAUGCGCAGAUAUCAGGAGGAACACCGGUGGCGAAGGCGGGUCUCUGGGCCGAAAUUGACGCUGAGGAGCGAAAGCGUGGGGAGCAAACAGG
rnacentral:rRNA from 1 species